UACGUAGGGUGCGAGCGUUGUCCGGAAUUAUUGGGCGUAAAGGGCUCGUAGGCGGUUUGUCGCGUCGGGAGUGAAAUCCACUGGCUUAACUGGUGGCUUGCUUUCGAUACGGGCAGACUGGAGGUAUGCAGGGGAGAACGGAAUUCCUGGUGUAGCGGUGAAAUGCGCAGAUAUCAGGAGGAACACCGGUGGCGAAAGCAGCUCUCUGGGACGGUACUGACGCUGAGACGCGAAAGCGUGGGGAGCGAACAGG
rnacentral:rRNA from 1 species